AUUGAACGCUGGCGGCAUGCCUUACACAUGCAAGUCGAACGGCAGCACGGGAGCAAUCCUGGUGGCGAGUGGCGAACGGGUGAGUAAAGCAUCGGAACGUGUCCUGUAGUGGGGGAUAGCCCGGCGAAAGCCGGAUUAAUACCGCAUACGACCUGAGGGUGAAAGCGGGGGAUCGCAAGACCUCGCGCUAUAGGAGCGGCCGAUGUCAGAUUAGGUAGUUGGUGGGGUAAAGGCCUACCAAGCCGACGAUCUGUAGCUGGUCUGAGAGGACGACCAGCCACACUGGGACUGAGACACGGCCCAGACUCCUACGGGAGGCAGCAGUGGGGAAUUUUGGACAAUGGGGGCAACCCUGAUCCAGCCAUGCCGCGUGCGGGAAGAAGGCCUUCGGGUUGUAAACCGCUUUUGUCAGGGAAGAAAUCCUUUGGGCUAAUACCUCGGAGGGAUGACGGUACCUGAAGAAUAAGCACCGGCUAACUACGUGCCAGCCGCCGCAGUAA
rnacentral:rRNA from 1 species